UUAACCCAGCACUGCCAAGUCCACCACUAAACCACCUCCCCAAGUGUCAAAUCCUUGUUUGAACAUUUCCAGGGAUGAUGAUUCCACCACUUCCCUCGAAAGCCUGUUCCAAUGUCUGCUCCACUUUUUCUCCAGACAGAUGACAUGUAGAAUGCCAAGUAAAUCUGCCAUUUCUCUGUCCAUUUUCAUCUAAUUAGUAACAUCAUCAGGAGAAAACAUCACCACCAGAGUUGACAAAGACCAUUCAAGCACUCUACCAGCAGAAAGACAGAUCUUGAAACAGGACUGUGUAGUUGUGAUGAUGAACCAGGGGAAUGAUGCAGCUGACUCCCUCACAACUGAUAACUUCGGAUGAUUUCUCCACAUGAUUCACUUGGAACCCUUUGCUGAUCCUCAUCAUGAAAGAAUUAUAAAAAAAGGGCAGGAAUGGACUGUAUGUUUAAGUGUCAAAAACAACUCUACGCCUUUCAGAAACAGGGAAACAAGGAAACCAGUAAAAUAUACAUUUGUCUACCAUAAAGUGUCAAAAUUUAGAGGAACGCACUACCCCUUGAUAAAUUGUAAACUGUGCUAAAGUUAUGACAUGUAUUUUAUCUAAGUCCACACUGCAUAUUAUUCCCCUUAGCAAAACUUUUUGAUAAACUCAGAAUGCUUAACACAGGCAUAACAGUGCUCAAUAUGUUUGGUGUUACAUUUAAAAGCUUUCAUUUGCUAAAGUUCUCAUGUGUUAUUAAAAUCACUGCUUGGAUGUGGUACAAUUUGUACUAAAGGAUAACAUUCAAACUAAACAUACAGCUUUUUAACAGAUGUUUAAUUAUAGCAGCUCCUCAAACUCUGAAAUCAUUUGUGGAACUCAUGUUAUUUCAGAUGAAACUACUUACAUAACAAUAUGGGCUACUUUG